rnacentral:rRNA from 1 species
GACAGAGGUGCCGAGCGUUAGGCGGAAUCACUGGGCUUAAAGCGUGUGUAGGUGGAUGCCUAAGUACCUUGUGAAAUCCCACGGCUUAACCGUGGAACUGCUCGGUAUACUGGGUGUCUUGAGCCAGCUAGGGGCUACCGGAACAAAUGGUGGAGCGGUGAAAUGCGUUGAUAUGCACAGGAACUCCGGUGGCGAAGGCGGCGAGCUGGACCCUUUCUGACGCUGAGGCGCGAAAGCCAGGGGAGCGAACGGG